AUGAAGGGGGAUAAGUCAGAUUGGCGAUUAACCGGUUUCUACGGAGAACCAGCUUGGGACCGGUGUCAUUUGUCUUGGUGUUAUUUUAGGCAGCUUAAGGGAGAUGCUACAGGUCUAUGGCUAGCAAUUGAAGAUUUUAACGAAAUUCUAAUGCCAAGUGAGAAGGAAGGUGGGAAUCAUCAUAUGCUUCAAGCUUUUAGUGAUUGUCUAUUUGAAUGCGGCCUGGACGGAGUUGAGUUUUUGGGAGAUCAGUUUACAUGGAGAUGUGGUGAUAUCCGGGAGAGACUGGAUUGGGCGGUAGGCAAUGAGGGAUGGUCAACAAAGUUUCCACUAGUGGCGGUUGUUCACGAGCACCAUGCACACUCUGAUCAUCGGUUGUUGUUGUUGACCACAGAGUAUUAUGAUAGAUCUCAGUUCAGGAAAUCGUCCUGCAAAAAGUUUGGGGUCCGCUGGUUAUGUGAAGAAACAGUGAACGAAAUCGUUAAUAUGGCGUGGGAAAAAGCGAAGUUAGCUGGUCUGGGACCGUCCUUGGCUGAUAGGAUGAAGGUUGUACGUGCAGAUUUGCACCAAUGGGACAAAGAUGUCUUAAAAGGCCCAAAGAAGCGGGUGGGUAAAUUGAAAAGGGAACUUGAGAAACUUAGACAUGGGGUUUUGUCUCCCGAUUCCAUUGCCAGGCAGAAGGAAAUUCUUCUUUUGUUGGAGAAUAUUAUGGAACAAGAGGAGAUCUUCUUGCUUCAAAGAGGUGGGACGGAAUGGUUGUUACAUGGCGAUAGAAACACGAAGUUUUUCCACAAUGCAGCCAUGGCAAAAAAGAAAUGA
rnacentral:rRNA from 1 species